UAUGGCCGGUGCUGGCGUCAGGUUGAGCAACCUGCAAAAGUUUCUCGACGCCGGGAUUUGUGAGCUGCACAGCUCCGCCAGCCGCCAGGUUUCUUCUCCGAUGCGUUACCGGAAAGCGGGCGUUUCAAUGAGUUCAGAUGUGGAAACCGAUGAGUUCAGCCGUCAGUGCGUUGAUGGCGAUAUGGUUGAGGCGAUGAAAAGCAUUAUGCAGAUGAACAGCGUUCGGGUCGCCUGAACCCAGACAGUUUUUGCCGCGCAGCACGCCGUUCCUCAGACGUGAUGUUUGCAAGUACCAAACCCCAGCACUUUGUUGGGGUUUUUUU
rnacentral:ncRNA from 1 species